GAUGAACGCUGGCGGCGUGCCUAAUACAUGCAAGUCGAGCGAACGGACGAGAAGCUUGCUUCUCUGAUGUUAGCGGCGGACGGGUGAGUAACACGUGGAUAACCUACCUAUAAGACUGGGAUAACUUCGGGAAACCGGAGCUAAUACCGUAUAAUAUUUUGAACCGCAUGGUUCAAAAGUGAAAUACGGUCUUGCUGUCACUUAUAGAUGGAUCCGCGCUGCAUUAGCUAGUUGUUAAGGUAACGGCUUACCAAGGCAACGAUGCAUAGCCGAACUGAGAGAGUGAUAGGCCACACUGGAACGGAGCCACGGUCAAGAGUCCUAAGAGAGGCAGCAGUAGGGAAUCUGACGCAACGGGCGAAAGCAUGACGGAGUAACGAGGAGUGAGUGAUGACGGUCUUCGGAGCGUAAAAAUCUGUUAUGAGUGAAGAACAUAUGUGUAAGUAAAUGUGCACAUAUUGACGGUACCUAAUCAGAAAGCAACGGCUAACUACGUG
rnacentral:rRNA from 1 species